rnacentral:rRNA from 1 species
AUUGAACGCUGGCGGCAGGCCUAACACAUGCAAGUCGAGCGCGAAAGUUCUUCGGAAUGAGUAAAGCGGCGGACGGGUGAGUAACGCGUGGGAAUCUGCCUAGUAGUGGGGGACAACAGCCGGAAACGGCUGCUAAUACCGCAUACGCCCUACGGGGGAAAGGGGGGGAUCUUCGGACCUCUCGCUAUUAGAUGAGCCCGCGUCGGAUUAGCUAGUUGGUAGGGUAAAGGCCUACCAAGGCUACGAUCCGUAACUGGUCUGAGAGGAUGAUCAGUCAAGCUGGAACUGGGACACGGUCCAGACUCCUACGGGAGGCAGCAGUGGGGAAUAUUGGACAAUGGGGGCAACCCUGAUCCAGCCAUGGCGCGUGUGUGAAGAAGGCCUUAGGGUUGUAAAGCACUUUCAGCGAGGAGGAAGGGUGGUGUGUUAAUAGCACAUCAUUUUGACGUUACUCGCAGAAGAAGCACCGGCUAACUCUGUGCCAGCAGCCGCCGUAA